CAUCGCGUGUCCGCUUUCCCGGCUCCCCGCCGUCGCACGCGGCUCCCAGUGUGCCCCGCUCGUGUUAUUUCUUUCAGUGAUUACAACCUUCUUUCGAAAAGGAUUUCUCCAGGACUACACGUUCCAGAAUGCAGCGGGGGUGUAGGGUGGGGCGCUUUCUAACGUUGGCGGCCUGCUUCUGGAGACCAGGUGGCCCUGCUCUGACCCGGUUGAUGAUGUCGAGGUCCCAACGAUCCCCUGACAAUCUCAGCACGAGUUUCCACUUAUCCCUAAGGCCAUCCGGUGACCUCAGAGCCCGCCCAACUCCAGUUUUUCUCUACAUUCGCUGAUAUCCGGAGGCAAGCUGGCUGGAGCACUGGGAGUUCCACCCCCCACCCCCCACCAGUCUGCAGAGCUGGGGUCCGCAGGAGUCGGCCAGGGUGUGGCCGAGGGCUGGCAGGUUGGUUACUGCCCUCAACAGACAGAAUCACAGACAGAUGCUACACUUGAAGCAGCCUUGACCUCAUCCCUUAAGGAGUUGAUUAUAGAUUUUCUUGCGGCUUCUCUCUAAUUGUCUCAUGAUUGCAUUCUUGAGGUCUGUGAACUGGACGAAAACUGCCCCAAACAGCACUCCUAAAGUUGGUGCUAAACAUUUGUUAAUUAACCCGUUUAUGUCUUAACGUUUUUCUGCAUACACAAUGCUGUACUUUACCCGGUAGUUGACUAAAGAAGAGAAGCCAAACGUAUAUUGCUUAGCUGGAAAAAUUUAUAAGUUAUUUGAGAAAACCAGAAGUACACACAGAUCUUUAAAUGACAGGUGAUGACUAUGAAUAGGGUUUGAGGAGGGAGGUCCCUCCAGGGAAUCUCUCCCAGGCAGAGGUUCCUCGGGUUUGGAAAGCCUGCGUCAGCCAAGGGUAACGGGCACCCGGGCUCCAGCCGUCAUCACCCCUCUGGUCCCGCUCCCCGUCCUCUUGGCGAAGACAGGGUCUUUCUUGGAGACACUGGGGAUGCUCGGAGUGGGAAGCGGGGGCCAAAUGCGGGCGCGAGAGAAUCCUGACCCCCGAUGCAUUUAUAUUUCAACUUCCUCGGCCCCAAAUUUCCUGAUCAUAUUUGUGCCUCAAUUUUCCUGCCCGAGAUCCCCUCUUUUCCGCCCAGAGGUGCCUCAUCGGCCCAAGAGACGGC
rnacentral:lncRNA from 1 species